GGUGGUUCUCAGGUGACACACCCCAAAAUCGAGCUCCCUCUUCUCUGGUUCCAGGUGCGUCAUCUGAGAACCACA
rfam:Myotis brandtii contig169019, whole genome shotgun sequence.